GAUGAACGCUAGCGGCAGGCCUAAUACAUGCAAGUCGGACGGGAUUGAGGAGCUUGCUUCUCAUGAGAGUGGCGCACGGGUGCGUAACACGUAUGUAACCUACCUUGUUCAGGGGGAUAGCCUCUCGAAAGAGAGAUUAAGACCGCAUAACGUAGUGAUGUGGCAUCAUAUUACUACCAAAUAUUUAUAGGAACAAGAUGGGCAUGCGGAACAUUAGCUAGUUGGUAAGGUAACGGCUUACCAAGGCUACGAUGUUUAGGGGAUCUGAGAGGAUUACCCCCCACACUGGUAAUGAGACACGGACCAGACUCCUACGGGAGGCAGCAGUAAGGAAUAUUGGUCAAUGCACGGAAGUCUGAACCAGCCAUGCCGCGUGCAGGAAGACGGCCCUACGGGUUGUAAACUGCUUUUAUACGGGAAUAAACCUACUUACGUGUAAGUAGCUGAAUGUACUGUAAGAAUAAGGAUCGGCUAACUCCGUGCCAGCAGCCGCAGUAACAC
rnacentral:rRNA from 1 species